rnacentral:rRNA from 1 species
CCUACGGGAGGCAGCAGUGGGGAAUUUUUCACAAUGGACGAAAGUCUGAUGGAGCAACGCCGCGUGCAGGAUGAAGGCUUUCGGGUCGUAAACUGAUUUUAUAGGUGAAGAUUAUGACGGUAACCUAUGAAUAAGGGUCGGCUAACUACGUGCCAGCAGCCGCGGUCAUACGUAGGACCCAAGCGUUAUCCGGAAUUACUGGGCGUAAAGAGUUGCGUAGGUGGCAUAGUAAGUAGGAAGUGAAAGCGUUCGGCUCAAACCGGAUAAACAUUUCUUAAACUGCUAAGCUAGAGAACGAGAGAGGUAGAUGGAAUUCCCAGUGUAGGAGUGAAAUCCGUAGAUAUUGGGAGGAACACCGAUGGCGUAGGCAGUCUACUGGCUCGUUUCUGACACUAAGGCACGAAAGCGUGGGUAGCAAACAGGAUUAGAUACCCUGGUAGUCCACGCCGUAAACUAUGGAUGCUAGCUGUUAGAAGUAUCGACCCUUCUAGUAGCGAAGCUAACGCGUUAAGCAUCCCGGCCUGUGUGAGUACGGUCGCAAGACUAAAACAUAAAGGAAUUGACGGGGACCCGCACAAGCGGUGGAGCGUGUUGUUUAAUUCGAUGAUAAGCGAAGAACCUUACCCAGGCUUGACAUCUUCGGAAGCUUUACGAAAGUAGAGUGUGCCUUCGGGAACCGAAUGACAGGUGCUGCAUGGCCGUCGUCAGCUCGUGUCGUGAGAUGUUGGGUUAAGUCCCGCAACGAGCGCAACCCUUGUCGUUAAUUGCCAUCAUUUAGUUGGGCACUUUAGCGAGACUGCCGGUGACAAACCGGAGGAAGGUGGGGGAUGACGUCAAGUCCUCAUGGCCCUUAUGGGUAGGGCUUCACACGUCAUACAAUGGUCGGUACAAAGGGUCGCCAACCCGCGAGGGGGAGCCAAUCCCAGAAAGCCGAUCGUAGUCCGGAUUGCAGGCUGCAACUCGCCUGCAUGAAGUCGGAAUCGCUAGUAAUCGUGGAUCAGCAUGUCACGGUGAAUACGUUCCCGGGCCUGUACACACC